GACUAACGCUGGCGGCGUGCCUAAUACAUGCAAGUAGAACGCUGAAGGAGGAGCUUGCUUCUCUGGAUGAGUUGCGAACGGGUGAGUAACGCGUAGGUAACCUGCCUUGUAGCGGGGGAUAACUAUUGGAAACGAUAGCUAAUACCGCAUAAGAGUAGAUGUUGCAUGACAUUUGCUUAAAAGUUUCAAUUGCAUCACUACCACAUGCACCUUCUUUGUAUUAGCUAGUUGGUGGGGUAACGGCUCACCAAGGCGACGAUCCAGAGACGACCGGAGAGGGGGAGUGGCCACACUGGGACGGAGACACGGCACAGACGGCUACGGGAGGCAGCAGGAGGGAAUCGUCGGCAAGGGACGGAAGACUGACCCAGCAACGCCGCGUGAGGGAAGAAGGUCGUCGGAUCGGAAAGCUCUGUUGUAAGAGAAGAAAGAGUGUGAGAGUGGAAAGUUCACACUGUGACGGUAUCGUACCAGAAAGGGACGGCUAACUACGUG
rnacentral:rRNA from 1 species